GCGGGGGUGCCCGAGCUAGGACAAAGGGGGCGGAUGUGCACUCCGCUGGCGUAGGCCUGCCCGGGUUCGAAUCCCGGCCCCCGCACCA
rnacentral:tRNA from 1 species